CUCUCUCUCUCUCUCUCUCUCUCUCUCUCUCUCGGCAUACCCUCUCCUGCGCAGCCUCUCCCUGCGCGGCCCCAGCCUCUUCCACGGCCAGCACCACCUCCUACAGCUCCUCACGUAGCACAACCUCCUCCAGCCGCAGCCACAACCUCACAGCAGCACCCCCUGCAGCUCUCCUGCGCAGCACCACUCCCUUACACCGGCAAACUCCUACUCCCUCACGGCCUGCUAGCUCCCCAGCUACUCAUACAGCCAACACCACCUCCUGCAACUCCAUAGCCUGCAGCCUCCAACACCAGCGGCCGUCUCCCUCUCUUAACCUCGUCCAGCCGCAGCCCUCUCCUCUUCUCCUCCAAAGGUAAGUUUUUAAGAAAACAGCACGAGAAAGCAGGGUGAUGAACAAACACACAUUUUAAGCAGAAGAAUUGAAGAAGGAAAAGGGGGCAAGACCUGAAACAAAUGGCAAGUAUGAAGGUGAAAGCUGGUGUAAGGUUGCUGAUGGCAGAAGCAAGAGUUGGAGAACUGUAUUCUAUUCCUUUCAGCUAAACCAUGGAACAUGGGGAAAUUUUUGGAAUCAUAGGGUUAUGGAUGAGUAACAGGAGCAUACCCAAGAAGCCCGAGGAGGAAGAUUCUAUAGGGAAGACAAGAGUUGAGUGGGGGAAGAGCUGUUCUUCUGUUAAAAUAAAUAAAUAAGUCAUCAUUAAGAGACACAAAAGAGAGAAUGUUAGAAGAUGGGGAAAGACAGAAUGGACGUUGCAUGCUCUGAAGAAAAUAAAAGAAAUGUUUGUGUUUGAGUUUGUGGUGUGAAAUGGUGAGAGCAGGGAGACACUGGGACAUACCUGAGGAAGAAGAUGGCGAAAGGAAGCAGAGCAAGAGUAGCAAUGGCGUAAGAAUAGAAGAUGAAGACAAAGUUGCUCAGCCCCUUCAAUGAUGCUGCCUUGAACAAGAUGCUAGAGCCUACAUUGAGGCACUCCACCAGCACCAUGGCCCCAAAUGGUAUCACUUCCCUCCAACAAUACCCCUCCGCCAUCUCUCUCUCUCUCUCAAAAUGGAGAAUGGGGGAUUCAAACUUCAAACUUCAAGGGUGUUAUUUGUUUGAAUGAGAAGGGCUUGAUGGAUUUUGUAGCAUGUGCUUGCUGAGAGCAGAGGUUUUGGUUUUCAAUGUCUCGGAGCAAGAAACAGGGUGAGGGGAUGAUGACAAGAUAUUUGGCCAAUUGGCUUGAAGGGGUAGAGGGAUUGCUUGACAAAGUCAUUUGGGUUGUUAUCAGGGAUCUCGGAGACUAUAUUAUAAUGUAGAUCUCGGAUUGAUAGUCACGUCUCACCAGAGGAGAACCCACUUCUUUACUACAAAGUCCAAAUGCCCUUACUUGGAUUAUUACUAAAGAAAAUAAAAUGGAGAGGGCGUGUUUGGUUUAGCAUUUUACCCAUUUUGCAGUUCAUAAAUGUCAAAUGUUUCUUCUUUCUUCAA